AUGGAGUUCCAGCCCUCCUUCCUGAUGCUCCCAACCCACUCCAGCCCCUGCCCGGGUUUCUGGUGGACCCAGAACAUGGUGAUGGCGCCGACAUCGAACCUGGACCCUUGGCACAGCAACACCCUGCUGGAGCGCGGGGGGGACCUCCAGCCCCCCGGGGGGUCCCUGCGCCUCCUCUGCCGAGGGUCCGGGUUCAGUUUCGGCAAUUUUGCCAUGAACUGGGUGCGCCAGAGCCCCGGGCAGGGGCUGGAAUUCGUGGCGUACAUAAACAUUGGUGGAGCCACUUACUACGCGCCAUCCGUCAAGGGCCGGUUCACGAUCUCCCAGGACAACGGGCAGAGCUCGGUGACGCUGACCAUGAACAACCUCAAGGACGAGGAUUCCGGAUCCUAUUUCUGUGCCAAGGCUUCUGCUGAUGGUUGGGCUGCUGCUGCUUACAUUGACCCUGCCGGUGGUGGCAGCGCCCUUGCCUGA